rnacentral:rRNA from 1 species
CUCGUAGGUGGUUUGUCGCGUCGUCUGUGAAAUUCCGGGCUUAACUCCGGGCGUGCAGGCGAUACGGGCAUAACUUGAGUACUGUAGGGGUAACUGGAAUUCCUGGUGUAGCGGUGAAAUGCGCAGAUAUCAGGAGGAACACCGAUGGCGAAGGCAGGUUACUGGGCAGUUACUGACGCUGAGGAGCGAAAGCAUGGGUAGCGAACA